UUCGCGCGCAGAUCGACGAGCUGCGAGGCGAGAUGCGUCAAAUCAAGGAACAAUACGACGAGAAACGAGCCUCCAACGCAACCGAUACAAUCAGCACCGAGGAGGUAGUCUGGAGACAGGAGCUCGAUAUGGAGGUUCGCGAACAAUGCCGGCUUAAGUCAGUUGCAGCUGAUCACUCGAUGGUCAUGGAUUGAUAAAAGCGAUCGCAUGGCGUCGUCGUUAUUGAUCGUGAUGUAACGUCAAUAUGACGAGCUUGCAGCGGGAAUACAUGAAGGUUGUGCUGCUCGGCGAUCGUAUGACCGGCAAAACUAGCCUCAUGAAAAGAUACUUCCUCAAUCAGUAUAAUAUUGGUGAACAAGCGACGAUCGGUGCGGCAUUCGAGUCGAAGAUUUUUGACAUCGACGGCAAAGAAUAUCAGAUGGGUGUCUGGGACACGAGUGGCGAGGAAAGGUACCAGUCGGUCUGCAAACUGUACUAUCGUAAUGCAACAGCAGCGAUAGUAUGCUAUGAUGUGACCCUCGAGAAUACCUUCCGGAAACUCAAUUACUGGAUCAACGAGGUACGUCAAGUCGAGGAGAACUGCCGUAUAUUCAUGUGCGCCACUAAAAGUGAUUUACUUCAGCAAUUCGAAGCUAAUCCAAAACUCAGUCUUGCGCAAGAUUAUGCCAGGAUCAACGGACUCAAGUUCUUCUUGACUUCGAGUAAAACUGGCGAAAACGUUGAAACCCUAUUCAACGAGGUAUUAGAUGACUGUAUUUCCGAGUACCGUGAUACUCCUCGUCGAAAUACGAUAAGACUUCCAUCAAAUACUCGUCGCUGGCGGCAAAGAACGAAAAAUUGCUGCUCUAAACGUUGAUCUCAAAUAGUAGCAAACACAACUCAAUCAUACUACAUCUGCCUCAGAAAUUCAUAGAACAAAUUUAUGAAGUGAUAGAAAUUAAAUUCUAAAAAUAACGAACCUAAUUCAGACAGAGCAUCUGGAUAUUCUUCGUCAUUCUCUUUAUUACACUCAGGUGGUGUACAAAAACUCCUGAUUUUGUAAGCCUUUGCUCUAUUGGAAAUUCAAUCAAAUUCAGAAGCUGCCAUCGAGUCAUGAGUGGAAAGAUUUUGGCAAAUGUGUAAGAUGCUUCCCAUUGUACUUUGCGCUCCAUGAACCCCUG